AAGAAAAGUCAUUAUAUGUAUCUUUCAUGUUCCAAGCUGAAGCUCUGCAAGACAGGCCCCUUGUGUCCAGGUAUGAUUCUCCAAACAGCUGGAUUUGGCAUUUUUCUAGGGAAAACAUUCCCUCAAGAUUUGCUGCUAAAAAUAAAUAAGAUCAUAAACUUUUACAACCACCCCCAUAGUACUAAAUUUGACACCUCAAGCAAUGUAGGAUGCUGGAAGUGCUCAGUGUUUUGUACCAUAACAAGGGGGAGAAAUACCCUUGAAAUGCACUUUCCGUGUUACCCUUUCAGCUAUAUACACAAAAUAGAGGCAUAAGUAUUAACUCUGCUCAUUAAUUCCAAUAUCUACUGGAUAAAUUUAAAGAAUGCUUAAAAAGCUGGUAAGCCCCCAACUUUGCAAACAGCAGGGAAAGAAUCCAAGUGAAUCAAAGUCCAAAACCAGGGAGGUUGGAAGUUGAAUAUUUACUUCAAGCAAAUAUUUCACCACUUUGGCUGUGAAGGCCAAGCCGUGAGGGGAUUGCUAUGAGGGCCAAGCUGUGAUGGGGAUGCCGUGAGGGCCAUGCCGGGAGAGGAUCUGCCAAGAAGGGGAUGCCAUGAGGGCCAUGCCAUGAGAGGAUCUGCCAUGAAGGGGAUGCCGUGAGGGCCAUACCCUGAGGGGGGGGAUUCGAGAGCGGGAAGGAUCCUCCGCCACAGACGGAACUACAGCACCCAGCGAGCAUCGCGGCACCGGCGCGGGAGGAGGGACGAGAGCGUGUCAGCAAUGUCGCGACAGGGACACCCGGAGUUCCCUUUGGCACAGAAAUUCCUCAAGUCUAGGAAUAUGAGGCGGGUGGGGAAAGGGGGAGAGGCGGCCGAAAGACUUUAGGGAUGAGUAGGUUGUUGUUAUUUUAUGCGUCAGGCAGUUGCCUCAGGGGCUGACGGUGGUGGUCUGUGAGGGCUGUGCAAAGGUGGAUUUUGUCUCUACAUCCCUUGAAAUACCACAUAGGAGCAACUCCUUAGUUUGUCCCACAUUUGAACUUUCUGCUCUAUGAAACCAAAAAGUAUUGGGCAACGUUUAGUCUAAUUUAGCAUUACAAUUGUGCUACAAUACUAUUAAUAAAACAAGAUUUGAACCACAGUUUUCCUCCCUUCAAUUGCUGUAAUGUGAAAACAUCACUGUUUGUAAAAUACCUUAGGAAAUAAGGCUUAAUGUUAUUUCUUUGCAUAUUUAAGCACACCCCAGACUCCUUUGAAAAGAAAGAGUUGCAUGAAGAAACGCUCUAAGCAUUGAUGAUCGUAGCAGAACUAUUAUUACUAAAGUCUUACAAUGUUACUAAUUGGACAUUAACCAGCAACAAUCACUGGUCUUGACAAGAUGAAAGUGAAAAAUUUAAUUAAUCUGAAAACUACCUGACACUGAAACCAAAUAAAAUAAUUUAAAUAAAAGGAAGUUUAUUCAGCAAGCAGAGACAGCAAGAACAGUUAUUUUUCAUGUAGGGCUGUGGAUCCUCAAAAAAAGGGACUUUUUGUAAUUAUCACGUUAGUUUUGUUUAUAAGGAGUCAGAGGGAAACAUGCAGCAGACAUUAAAGUCCUCUGACUUUUUUUGGGGCACCUUUCUUCAUGUUUUUGACAUGCCUGGUCGAGACAAGGCCAUUUGCAUCAGCUGAAUCCAAAUAUGUCUGAAAUUGUUCAAGUGAAACAUUUUAAGUCUUUACUUUGAUAUCAAAUAUGACAUAGUGUUCUACCAGAAAAUAACAUAUAUUAAUCUGAGCAUGGCAUGAACCAGGUAUAAGGACCUCUUAACUGUAACUACUUUAUACUUAAAAUGGAAUAAAUCAAGUGUGACAUAAAAGUAAGCAAGUUGAUCCAAGUCUCU